GUGACUGUUAUACCAGCUCUAUCAGAACUAGAAGACAUGGGGAGGGGACUGUUAUACCAGCUCUAUCAGAACUAGAAGACAUGGGGAGGGGACUGUUAUACCAGCUCUAUCAGAACUAGAAGACAUGGGGAGGUGACUGUUAUACCAGCUCUAUCAGAACUAGAAGACAUGGGGAGGGGACUGUUAUACCAGCUCUAUCAGAACUAGAAGACAUGGGGAGGUGACUGUUAUACCAGCUCUAUCAGAACUAGAAGACAUGGGGAGGGGACUGUUAUACCAGCUCUAUCAGAACUAGAAGACAUGGGGAGGGGACUGUUAUACCAGCUCUAUCAGAACUAGAAGACAUGGGGAGGUGACUGUUAUACCAGCUCUAUCAGAACUAGAAGACAUGGGGAGGGGACUGUUAUACCAGCUCUAUCAGAACUAGAAGACAUGGGGAGGGGACUGUUAUACCAGCUCUAUCAGAACUAGAAGACAUGGGGAGGUGACUGUUAUACCAGCUCUAUCAGAACUAGAAGACAUGGGGAGGGGACUGUUAUACCAGCUCUAUCAGAACUAGAAGACAUGGGGAGGGGACUGUUAUACCAGC